rnacentral:rRNA from 1 species
GCUCGUAGUUGGAGUUCAGAGUGAGCUCAAUCGGUCGGGAUUAUGUCUCAGAACUGGUUGACUCUCUCUUGUUUGUGGAUCCUGUUCGGAGUUAACUCUUCGGAUGUGGAGUCCACAUCGUUUACCUUGAAAAAAUUAGAGUGUUCAAAGCAGGCGUUUGCUUGAAUAUAUUAGCAUGGAAUAAUGGAAUAGGACGCUGGUUCUAUUUUGUUGGUUUUGAGAACCAGAGUAAUGAUUAAUAGGGACAGUUGGGGGCAUUCAUAUUUCAUUGUCAGAGGUGAAAUUCUUGGAUUUAUGAAAGAUGAACUUCUGCGAAAGCAUUUGCCAAGGAUGUUUUCAUUAAUCAAGAACGAAAGUUAGGGGAUCGAAGACGAUCAGAUACCGUCGUAGUCUUAACCAUAAACUAUGCCGACUAGGGAUUGGGCGUGGUUUGUUCAUUGACCCGCUCAGCACCUUACGAGAAAUCAAAGUCUUUGGGUUCCGGGGGGAGUAUGGUCGCAAGGCUGAAACUUAAAGGAAUUGACGGAGGGGCACCACCAGGAGUGGAGCCUGCGGCUUAAUUUGACCCAACACGGGAAAACUUACCAGGUCCAGACAUAGUAAGGAUUGACAGAUUGAGAGCUCUUUCUUGAUUCUAUGGGUGGUGGUGCAUGGCCGUUCUUAGUUGGUGGAGUGAUUUGUCUGGUUAAUUCCGAUAACGAACGAGACCUUAACCUACUAAAUAGUUACGUCGAUACUUUUGUAUCGACGGACAACUUCUUAGAGGGACUAUCGGUGUUCAACCGGUGGAAGU